UACAGAGGUCUCAAGCGUUGUUCGGAUUCAUUGGGCGUAAAGGGUGCGUAGGUGGCGCGCUAAGUCAGGUGUGAAAUUUCGGAGCUUAACUCCGAAACUGCAUUUGAUACUGGCGUGCUUGAGGACUGGAGAGGAGACUGGAAUUCAUGGUGUAGCAGUGAAAUGCGUAGAGAUCAUGAGGAAGACCAGUGGCGAAGGCGGGUCUCUGGACAGUUCCUGACACUGAGGCACGAGGGCCAGGGGAGCAAACGGG
rnacentral:rRNA from 1 species